UUCUCUGCUCCGUGUGGAUUUGAAUUUAUAUCACUUACUUAAUUGGAAUAAUUUUCCAUUUUUGCUUGAUUGCUUUUUUAAUUAUAAUAAUUGUAGAAAGAGGAUUUUUGCGAUUAUCCGAAGACCUGUCUUCGCUAAAAAUUGAAAAUUUUAACAUUGAACGACAAAUAGAAUCGUUAAUUAUUCAACAUUCGGAUUUAUGGACAUACGUUGAGAAUCUCAGUAAUAUGUAUAAACAUAUUACAGUAAUUUUAUACUUUUACUUAUUGUUUGUGACGUGUCUUUGUUGCUAUCAAUUUCUCUUUAUUGAUACGAGUUUAAUAAACAAGUUUCUUAUUCUGAUCUUGUCAAUCUUUUUUGCGGUUAAUUGCAUUGUAAUUAGUUUUCACUACUCUUCAUUUACAGUAACGAUGCAUGAUCAUUUCAAGAAAUAAGACGGUUUUCAAGUACAAAUAUUAAUCUGCAAAACAAGUUGAAAAUUUUAAAUUUCAUGAAAAGAUUCGGGAAGAUGUCAUUGAGAUUUACUAUAGGUGGAUUUUUCUACAUAAAUAAAAACUUUCCAAUUAAAAUGGCCAGUUCUCUACAUUCGAUAUUUAAUGGUCUAAUGAAAUUCAGAAAUGUCGGUGAUAGGCCUAAAAAAGAAGUCUGUUUACACUCUUCCACACAAAAUGUCACACAUAAUUUUUGAGUUGAGUAUAAGUUUUGAAAUAUUUUUACCAAAUUACGUAUUUUGUUUAUAAUAUUUAUGUCAAGAAAAUCUGCAUUCAUUAGAUUUGUUUAUUCAUGCGACUGCUAGCAGAUGGCAUUAAAAAUUUGAUUAUUUUUCUAUGGGGAAAUCCUUCUGAUAAA